UAGCACUUUCGGAAAACAAAA
ensembl:piRNA 21ur-15335 ncRNA